rnacentral:rRNA from 1 species
UACAGAGGGGGCAAGCGUUAUUCGGAAUUAUUGGGCGUAAAGAGCGUGUAGGCGGCCUGGAAGGUCAGCUGUGAAAACUCGAGGCUCAACCUCGAGACGUCGGUUGAAACCACCUGGCUAGAGUCCGGAAGAGGAGAGUGGAAUUCCCGGUGUAGCGGUGAAAUGCGCAGAUAUCGGGAAGAACACCCGUGGCGAAGGCGGCUCUCUGGGACGGUACUGACGCUGAGACGCGAAAGCGUGGGGAGCGAACAGG